UGGAAGACUAGUGAUUUUGUUGUUGAAUUUAAUGAUCCACAAAAAAUCACUGUCUCCCAAC
rnacentral:pre_miRNA from 1 species